rnacentral:lncRNA from 1 species
GCUUUCCGUGUGCCAGGCAGCAAUACAGACCAAGUCCUGUAGUUCAUGCCAGAGUUGUGUCUUGCUGCCCUUGGGGAGGAGUGGACAGGAUUCUUUGUAGCUUCCUGCCUUAAGGGUGAGGGUGUCUCUUGUUUGGCUGUGGUGGAGUUUUACUGUUGCUGGCUUUUCUACAAUGGAGCAUGAGCUGCGAGGAACCUGUGAAGUUAAACUGUGACAGCUUUUCUAAGCUUAGGUCAAUAGCCAUCCAUAUUCUGCUUUAUUAUAAGGUGAUGGUGGCUAUUUUCUUGAGUGAGUAUUUUAAAUACUUCUGUCCUGAAAAGAUUGCAGUCUUUUCUAUUUGUGAAUAUUGUUGGGUAUUUUGGGGGAGGGUGGUUUUGUGGGUGUGUAUGAUGUUUCUGGUUAGACUUACUGGCUGUUGAGGGGCUAAAUAUUAGCUGGCAUUUUUUUCUUAAGCUGGACAAAAGAAGCUGCAGAUUAAUUUUUUUCUUGUAAAUAUUUUUAAACCUUUUUACAUACAAAAAGUUCCUAUGAUAACUGAAGUUUCAGCAGUACAGUUUAUGCUUUAUGAUAACUAGCAGGUAGAAAUAACAGGAUAUCAGAGAUGAAUGCUUCCUGUCACCUGACUUUGGUGUCACUUUGAUUAGGAGAAGGAGAAUAGUAAUAAUUUGUUUUUUUAGAAGCUUUCUGGCUUGUUUUCAUUCCAGACUUUAUACUAGUGAGCAGUAACACUCACUAAAGACAGAAUAUGCAAUCCCCCAGACAUUCCUUUGAAAGAAAUAAUUUCUCUAUCUUGAAGAAGUAGCUUUUUAGGGUCAGAGUUAUCUGUUAAGAGGUGGUCAUGUUGCUUUACCUUUGUAUUUUGUCCCAACUUCGGGCUUCUGUUGCCUAGGAUAUAUGGUGUUUCUGUUGAGUCUGAACUUCACAAUUCUGCAGCAUUGCUUUAAAACAAACAGGAAAGUUUUGAAAAAAAUACUGUCUUGAAAUCAAUAUGACUACCUGUGUGCACAAAGUUUCUAGGAAAAAAUGUGGUUUAUUUUUUACAUCUAAGUUGCUUUUCCUAUGCAUUUUCUAGUUAGAAACUUGAGUUUUAAGUUUUCCCUCUAAGACAGAAUUGAGAGCUAAUGAGAGUCUUGUGUGUAAGAAGAGGAGAAUAUGGAAAGAACACUUAGUGUUAUGGUAUAUGCUCCUAUCCUGUGGCUUCUUGCUGUUUGUGUACUAGUUUUAGGCUGGUAUCUCUUGUUAGGAGGGACUCUGACCUCUGGCCUUAAGCUUGACUCAUACUGAUUCCCUCCUGAUUUCUUUUUGCAAACUAUAUGUUCCAUAUAUGCUAUUGUUCAUAAGGUUGGCUAUGGGAUUUGAUAACAUGCUUAACCAUACUGACUUUGCUUCUUGCCUGUGUGUUCACAGAGCUGUUCUAAUUGUUGUGUGGGAAACAGCACAACUAGAGAGGCCAGUUAAUAGCAGAUAUCCUGGGAUAUUUUUGGUAAUCUGUAUUUUUACAUAUUGAACCCUGCCAUUAGUAUAUUAUUAUUGGCAUUCAUAAUGUUAAUUUUAAUGCAGGUCCCCCAACUUCCUUUGGUGUUGGUCACAGUAUUAACUAUACCCUUAUGUUUUUUUUUAUAUGGAGAUUUCUUCAAAGGGUGUUUACUUCCUACACUUUAAUUUUGUGUCUGUGGGACUGUAUGGUUAAGUAGAUUGCUAAAACCACCCCCAAGUUUUAAACACGUGGGCCCUUCAAUACAUUUGCUUCUGUAAGUGGUUUGGAGAGGGGAGGAAGCAUGGCAGGGUAUCUCUUAAACUAGUUCUGCCAUUUGAGGAAAUGUGUGUGUAACCAUAAUCCAUAAUUAAAGUUAAUUAAGCUUUAACCUACAGCAGGAACAUAUUUUAAAGAUGUACCAAUUUAUUUUAAAAUGAAGUAUUUUUUCAAUGUUCAUAUCCCAGGAUGUUGAAAGAUUCAUGUAAAAGUAGUACAAUAAAUUAAUUUCAGAAUAUUUCA